AUACUUUAUAUACCUGUGUGUGUGUAUAUAUAUAUAUAUAUAUAUACACACACACACAGUAUCAGAUAUAUAUAUACACACACACAUAUAUGUAUGUCUAGGGAAUAAAUA
rnacentral:miRNA from 1 species